AUACAUGCAGUCGAGCGAACAGAAGGGAGCUUGCUCCCGGAUGUUAGCGGCGGACGGGUGAGUAACACGUGGGUAACCUGCCUGUAAGACUGGGAUAACUCCGGGAAACCGGAGCUAAUACCGGAUAGUUCCUUGAACCGCAUGGUUCAAGGAUGAAAGACGGUUUCGGCUGUCACUUACAGAUGGACCCGCGGCGCAUUAGCUAGUUGGUGGGGUAAUGGCUCACCAAGGCGACGAUGCGUAGCCGACCUGAGAGGGUGAUCGGCCACACUGGGACUGAGACACGGCCCAGACUCCUACGGGAGGCAGCAGUAGGGAAUCUUCCGCAAUGGACGAAAGUCUGACGGAGCAACGCCGCGUGAGUGAUGAAGGUUUUCGGAUCGUAAAGCUCUGUUGUUAGGGAAGAACAAGUGCGAGAGUAACUGCUCGCACCUUGACGGUACCUAACCAGAAAGCCACGGCUAACUACGUGCCAGCAGCCGCGGUAAUACGUAGGUGGCAAGCGUUGUCCGGAAUUAUUGGGCGUAAAGGGCUCGCAGGCGGUUUCUUAAGUCUGAUGUGAAAGCCCCCGGCUCAACCGGGGAGGGUCAUUGGAAACUGGGAAACUUGAGUGCAGAAGAGGAGAGUGGAAUUCCACGUGUAGCGGUGAAAUGCGUAGAGAUGUGGAGGAACACCAGUGGCGAAGGCGACUCUCUGGUCUGUAACUGACGCUGAGGAGCGAAAGCGUGGGGAGCGAACAGGAUUAGAUACCCUGGUAGUCCACGCCGUAAACGAUGAGUGCUAAGUGUUAGGGGGUUUCCGCCCCUUAGUGCUGCAGCUAACGCAUUAAGCACUCCGCCUGGGGAGUACGGUCGCAAGACUGAUACUCAAAGGAAUUGACGGGCGCGCGCACAAGCGGUGGAGCAUGUGGUUUAAUUCGAAGCAACGCGAAGAACCUUACCAGGUCUUGACAUCCUCUGACAACCCUAGAGAUAGGGCUUUCCCUUCGGGGACAGAGUGACAGGUGGUGCAUGGUUGUCGUCAUCUCCUGUCGUGAGAUGUUGGGUUAAGUCCCGCAACCACCGCACCCUUGAUCUUAGUUGCAGCAUUCAGUUGGGCACUCUAAGGUGACUGCCGGUGACAACCCGAGGAAGGUGGGGAUGACGUCAAUCAUCAUGCCCCUUAUAACCUGCCUUACACGGGCUCAAAGGAAAAAAAAAGGGGGACAAACCCACGGGUUAUCAAUCCCGGAUUUUUU
rnacentral:rRNA from 1 species